GGGGGGGGGGGGGGGGGGGGGGGGGGGGGGGGGGGCGGGGGGGGGCGGAGGGGGGGGUGGCGAGUACGGGUGGCGAGUGGCGGCGGGGGGCGGCAGACAGCGGAGUCGACGUUUGCGUGGGGGAUAAGGUAGGGACACGUACGCCCAGACCGCAUACGCCCUACGGGUUAAAGCACGGCAUCUUCGGACCCUGCGCGACUGCAUGAGCCGAUGUCGGAGUAGCGAGUAGGCGGGGUAAAGGCCAAUCAAGGCGACGAUCCGUAGCUGGUCUGAGAGGAUGUUCGGCCACACUGGAACUGAGACACGGUCCAGACGCCUGCGGGAGGCAGCAGUGGGGAAUAUUGGACAAUGGGCGCAAGCCUGAUCCAGCCAUACCGCGUGGGUGAAGAAGGCCUUCGGGUUGUAAAGCCCUUUUGUUGGGAAAGAAAAGCAGCAGGUUAAUACCCCGCUGUUCUGACGGUACCCAAAGAAUAAGCACCGGCUAACUUCGUG
rnacentral:rRNA from 1 species